AUUGGGCGUAAGAGCUCGUAGGCGGUUUGUCGCGUCUGCUGUGAAAUCCCGAGGCUCAACCUCGGGCUUGCAGUGGGUACGGGCAGACUAGAGUGCGGUAGGGGAGAUUGGAAUUCCUGGUGUAGCGGUGGAAUGCGCAGAUAUCAGGAGGAACACCGAUGGCGAAGGCAGAUCUCUGGGCCGUAACUGACGCUGAGGAGCGAAAGCAUGGGGAGCGAACAGGAUUAGAUACCCUGGUAGUCCAUGCCGUAAACGUUGGGCGCUAGAUGUAGGGACCUUUCCACGGUUUCUGUGUCGUAGCUAACGCAUUAAGCGCCCCGCCUGGGGAGUACGGCCGCAAGGCUAAAACUCAAAGGAAUUGACGGGGGCCCGCACAAGCGGCGGAGCAUGCGGAUUAAUUCGAUGCAACGCGAAGAACCUUACCAAGGCUUGACAUACACCGGAAACGGCCAGAGAUGGUCGCCCCCUUGUGGUCGGUGUACAGGUGGUGCAUGGUUGUCGUCAGCUCGUGUCGUGAGAUGUUGGGUUAAGUCCCGCAACGAGCGCAACCCUCGUUCUAUGUUGCCAGCGGGUUAUGCCGGGGACUCAUAGGAGACUGCCGGGGUCAACUCGGAGGAAGGUGGGGAUGACGUCAAAUCAUCAUGCCCCUUAUGUCUUGGGCUUCACGCAUGCUACAAUGGCCGGUACAAAGGGCUGCGAUACCGUAAGGUGGAGCGAAUCCCAAAAAGCCGGUCUCAGUUCGGAUUGAGGUCUGCAACUCGACCUCAUGAAGUCGGAGUCGCUAGUAAUCGCAGAUCAGCAACGCUGCGGUGAAUACGUUCCCGGGCCUUGUACACACCGCCCGUCAAGUCAUGAAAGUCGGUAACACCCGAAGCCGGUGGCCUAACCCUUGUGGAGGAGCCGUCGAAGGUGGGAUCGGUGAUUAGGACGAAGUCGUACA
rnacentral:rRNA from 2 species